UCAGGUGGUUAUUGCGGUGAGGUCCCACCUCUUCCCAUUCCGAACAGAGAAGUUAAGCUCACUUGCGCCGAUGGUACUGCAAUGCGGGAGAGUAGGUAGCCGCCUCCU
rnacentral:rRNA from 1 species